CAGAGCAGCCUCGCGCAGCUGAGGGCUCCGCACCACAACAAGAUUUACUUUAAGACACAGCUGAAGGAAACAGGAAGACUACACGUCACAGUCUGAAUGACGUGGGCCAGGCCAAGCGCCCAAUCGGGAGGCUCCUUCGGAUGGAAGGGGGGAUAGUGAACCGAGAACUUGGGAGGAAAAAAAAAAAGAGGGGUGGGGGGAGAAAGAGGAGGAGAAACUGGAUCCCUUCCCCAGCCCCCACCCAGUGCUGCGGGGAAGGAGACUUUAUCACCUAAUCUGGUGCUUCCAUUGAGAGAGCCAUCUGCAAGCAGCAGCAGCUAAGAGCAGCACUUGAUCUACUUCUGAAUCUUGCCACUCACUCCAGGUCCUGCAGUGCAUGGCAGAUCAGUUACCUAAAGAGCAGCAAAGCUCGUCUGGGUGAUGUUACUGCACAGCAAAAGCUGCACCGCAGUUAUGGAUAAGUAAAUGAAAGGAGACACCCUACCUCAGCUAUUUAGUAAUUUGGGGGCGGGGGUAUUUCAAGAUAAAGUAACUAAAAAAAAAUGAAAUAGAGAAAAGUCUUCAGCAAAGUGAGGAGUGCUGACCAAGGCAUCCACACCGCAGGAAAAGAGGGGAAAAGAAACCUUUGGAAGGAAAAGUCAGAGCAGAGAGCUUAAACCGCUUUGAGAAAGGAUCUCCGGACUUGUCUACGGGAGGGAUCUUUGCACAAUGAUAUAGCCAUGACAUCAGUGUAUCUGCUGCAGAGUAGGCCCCUACUUCGGAUCAACUCAUUAUCCUGAAUAAACGAUGUGUCAUUCCCAUUAUUUAUGUUUCACUGCAGCCAAAGUAUCUGGACCUCGUUUUGAGUGGAAGGAGUAAAUUGCAAUGUGGAUGAUGUCCUACCAGUAUCUCUCUCAUAUUCACAUGAAGGGUUUGAGCACUUCCAUGAACCUCAGCAGUGACAAUAUGGCCCAGGUGUCUUUAGUGAUGAUGGGCUAGACCAUGAUUUGGUCUACAUUUGAACUAUACCCGCCUACACAUCUGUGUAUGCCACUUAGAUCUUGGGCCCUGGUGUAGUGCCAGCAUCCUCUUACUCCCACCUUGAGGCAGGCCGACUCAACAGAGAGGCAAAUGGACAACAGCCUUAUCCAAGGGCAGUGAAGUCAAGGGGAGUCUUCCCAUUGUUGUCAAUGGGUCCUGGAUCAGGCCCUGAAUGAGCAUGGAGAUUGAACUAUCCCUAGAAGAGAUCUACCUGCUACCCCUAGAAGGGAUCAUUUAGGGUCAGUGCUGAAGCACAUUGCAAAGAAUUGUGGGGAAGCUGCAUUCCCUCUGCCCCUGUCAGAUUUGUUCUGAGGGUAAAGAGAUAACUAUUUUCUCCAAAUGAUGAUGCCUGAAAGAAGACAGCGUUCCAACACUGGGCCAGUUUGCUGAUUUAAUACUGCCAUGAAAGAAGAGAACAACCUACUGAAUAACUAACAUCACAUCCAAGCGUUUUCUAGAGAAGUCGCCAAUGGCACAUGAAUAGUCACACUGACUUCGGUGGAAUUACUCAUAUUUAAAGUUAGGCACACACUGCAGAAUCGGACCCAAAGAUUACUGAACUCAAUGGCAAUCUUUCCACUGACUUCCAUGAGCUUUGGAUCAGGCCCUAUGUGCUUUGAUGAAUAGGGAUGGACUUAACCACAUAUUUAAAAUGUGUGUUGAUGAACUGGGACCUAACUACAGACCAGGACCGAGACCGUUAACAUUUGAAUUUAACCAGAUUAUAACCCGGAUUAAUAUUGCUGUGUGUAAAGUAUGAAAGCUUACAGGUAAACAAAGUGUAAAAUAUAAAUUGAACUAGAACUGUAAGAACUAGGCACAAAUACAAUCACUGUCAAGCAACCUCGCUUAUUGAUUUUUUUAAAAAGGUUGGAAGUCGAGAGAGAGCCUUGUUAGAAAGCCCUUCAAGAAAAUUCUUUGAAAAUGAAAAACAACUUUUUAAAUGGCUAUAGGGAGGGGGUCAUUACUGUUUCCUCCUUGUCUUUUUGAUGCUAAAUUCUCAACUGGCAGGCAAACAUAUGCCCCCAACUCCAAUGUUUCCAAAUUCACAAAACUGGAUAUAGCUCUGUAUAUUACUUUAGGGUUUCAGCAGAUACUGUAUUCAGAAUAGUUUGAAAACUGCCUAGUGUCUUAGAGACAUGAUUGGUCUUCAUUGUGACUCCAGUAGGCAAAUAGCAGUGAGCUCACAUUCUUAGAGGACUUAGUUUGUGCAGGCAUGUAACUUAAAUACUUGCUGGGCACUGUUCUCCAGCAGCUGUACAUUCUCGAUGAUGCUUCCUUUUCAUCCUUCUGUUCUGUAUUCCUUAGCAGGAGACUCAACAGCUGUAACAACACCUGGAGGAUACUUGGCAGCUGCAAGUCGCAGAUGCUGAGCUCAGUAAUGUACUUUCCCUGUACAAGCAUCUGAGUGUUUUGCUGGCUGCUUGAAAGUUUUCACUGGUGUCUGAAUGGCUUGCUCCACAACUAGCUACAAUAUGCUGAUGGUUGUGUAGAAUCACCCCUGGAGUAUAGGGAUCAAUCUGUCUGAUGAGCAAGAUGACUUACCUCCUCCAAGACGCUGCUGUCAUUUACCCCUAUUUAUUGGUAAGAGAUUUGCAUGCUUUAGCAGUGUACAGGGCCAAUCAGAGGGGGGACCAGGAGGGCCAUUUGGCCUUGGUCUCAAGCUCAAAGGGGGCCUCAAAUUUAGACACUUGUUAAUUUUUGGCAUUUGAUAAGUUUCACAACUUGUUUUUAUGCACAUGAAAACUAUAUUUUUCCUCAAUACUUAGUGCAUUUGCCUGGAAAAAGGCUAGAAAAGCAUUUGUUAAAUAAAAAAUA